AGUGAACGCUGGCGGUAGGCCUAACACAUGCAAGUCGAGCGGCAGCACAGUAAGAGCUUGCUCUUACGGGUGGCGAGUGGCGGACGGGUGAGGAAUACAUCGGAAUCUACUUUUUCGUGGGGGAUAACGUAGGGAAACUUACGCUAAUACCGCAUACGACCUACGGGUGAAAGCAGGGGAUCUUCGGACCUUGCGCGAUUGAAUGAGCCGAUGUCGGAUUAGCUAGUUGGCGGGGUAAAGGCACACCAAGGCGACGAUCCGUAGCUGGUCUGAGAGGAUGAUCAGCCACACUGGAACUGAGACACGGUCCAGACUCCUACGGGAGGCAGCAGUGGGGAAUAUUGGGCAAUGGGCGCAAGCCUGAUCCAGCCAUACCGCGUGGGUGAAGAAGGCCUUCGGGUUGUAAAGCCCUGUUGUUGGGAAAGAAAAGCAGCAGGUUAAUACCCCGCUGUUCUGACGGUACCCAAAGAAUAAGCACCGGCUAACUUCGUG
rnacentral:rRNA from 1 species